UGGGGAAUCUUGCUCAAUGGGCGCAAGCCUGAAGCAGCAACGCCGCGUGAGGGAUGAAGGCCUUCGGGUUGUAAACCUCUUUCAGCAGGGACGAAAAUGACGGUACCUGCAGAAGAAGCCCCGGCCAACUACGUGCCAGCAGCCGCGGUAAUACGUAGGGGGCGAGCGUUGUCCGGAUUUAUUGGGCGUAAAGAGCUCGUAGGCGGUUUGGUAAGUCGGGUGUGAAAGUCCGAGGCUCAACCUCGGGAAGCCACCCGAUACUGCUAUGACUGGAGUCCGGUAGAGGAGUGUGGAAUUCCUGGUGUAGCGGUGAAAUGCGCAGAUAUCAGGAGGAACACCAAUGGCGAAGGCAGCACUCUGGGCCGGUACUGACACUGAGAGACGAAAGCUAGGGGAGCAAAUGGGAUUAGAUACCCAUGUAGUCCCUGAGCGGGCUGGCAAGGCGCAU
rnacentral:rRNA from 1 species